GCCAAUGUGGCAUAAUGGUUUGAGCAUUGGACUAUGACUCUGGAGACCAGGGUUCAAUUCCCACGUUGGCC